AACGAACGCUGGCGGCAGGCUUAACACAUGCAAGUCGAGCGCCCCGCAAGGGGAGCGGCAGACGGGUGAGUAACGCGUGGGAACGUACCUUUUGCUACGGAAUAACUCAGGGAAACUUGUGCUAAUACCGUAUGUGCCCUUCGGGGGAAAGAUUUAUCGGCAAAGGAUCGGCCCGCGUUGGAUUAGCUAGUUGGUGAGGUAAAGGCUCACCAAGGCGACGAUCCAUAGCUGGUCUGAGAGGAUGAUCAGCCACACUGGGACUGAGACACGGCCCAG
rnacentral:rRNA from 2 species